CACAUACCUCGUCUCUUUCGAUACGUGUAUACAUCCGCGGGGAUAGGAACCGAUGACGAGCAUCUUAUUUUGUGACUCAUAUUUCCACGGUGGAUCGCUGCUGCGACGCAGUAAAAGGAGGGAACUCAGCUAAAUGUCCUGCCGUUGUUUACGGAGAUACGAAAAUCUUAAUGUCAAGGAUAAUGCUGUAGAACUCCAAGGAAAGAUAUGUGUAUUAUUCAGGACUGCUAUGUAAGAUACGGCUGCGUAAAGACAUUCCGUUUUUUAUUGCAAAUGAAAAGACAAACUAAAGAAAAUGAUAAUAUCAACCGUACAAAUGCUAGAAAUAAUUGUUGACAAAAGUAACGGAAUUAAGGUUCUUAUGACUGGUAAUAUUGAACGCUAUCCCCACCACUGGCUAGUAUCCCCCACCGAAAGAAACUAGCGAAGUGGACGCGUUUAAAUAAAUACAUUUGGCGCCAAGUAUGUAAUUCAAAUUAACUUAUUAGUCUGAUGCGAAUCAAAUCAUUGACAAACAUA